AAGUCGUAACAAGGUUUCCGUAGGUGAACCUGCGGAAGGAUCAUUAAUGAAUAAAUCUGUUGGGUUGUAGCUGGCUCUUUAGAGAGCAUGUGCACACCUGUCACCUUUAUCUUUCCACCUGUGCACCACUUGUAGAUCUGGAGACCAUCCUAUUGUUUUCUGAGGUAACUCAGAUGUGUGAGGAGUGUGGGUGCCCUAGCAGUGCCAAACUCUCUUUGGGUAGCCAGGUCUAUGUUUAUCAAACACACCAAUGAAUGUAACAGAAUGUAUUUGAAUAGGUCAGUUGUACCUGUAAUAAAAUCUAUACAACUUUCAGCAACGGAUCUCUUGGCUCUC
rnacentral:misc_RNA from 1 species